rnacentral:rRNA from 1 species
AGAGUUUGAUCCUGGCUCAGGACGAACGCUGGCGGCGUGCUUAACACAUGCAAGUCGAACGAUGAUGCCCUGCUUGCAGGGUGGAUUAGUGGCGAACGGGUGAGUAACACGUGGGUGAUCUACCCUGCACUUCGGGAUAAGCCUGGGAAACUGGGUCUAAUACCGGAUAUGACCCUCCUUUAGUGUGGGGGGUGGAAAGCUUUUGCGGUGUGGGAUGAGCCUGCGGCCUAUCAGCUUGUUGGUGGGGUAAUGGCCUACCAAGGCGUCGACGGGUAGCCGGCCUGAGAGGGUGAUCGGCCACAUUGGGACUGAGACACGGCCCAGACUCCUACGGGAGGCAGCAGUGGGGAAUCUUAGACAAUGGGCGCAAGCCUGAUGCAGCCAUGCCGCGUGUAUGAAGAAGGCCUUCGGGUUGUAAACUCCUUUCGCUAGGGACGAAGAUGUAUUUUGACGGUACCUGGAGAAGAAGCACCGGCUAACUACGUGCCAGCAGCCGCGGUAA